UGCCCAGCAACUCCCAUCCCUACCUCUUCGCUGUGCUGGCCGGGGUACGAGUAACCUUAGGGAAAAUCGGGUAACCAACUCCGGUGGGAACUAUGGUCAUAUGCUGACAGGGAAGG
rnacentral:ribozyme from 1 species